rnacentral:rRNA from 1 species
AUUGAACGCUGGCGGCAGGCCUAACACAUGCGAGUCGAGCGGAUGAAGGGAGCUUGCUCCUGGAUUCAGCGGCGGACGGGUGAGUAAUGCCUAGGAAUCUGCCUGGUAGUGGGGGAUAACGUCCGGAAACGGGCGCUAAUACCGCAUACGUCCUGAGGGAGAAAGUGGGGGAUCUUCGGACCUCACGCUAUCAGAUGAGCCUAGGUCGGAUUAGCUAGUUGGUGGGGUAAAGGCCUACCAAGGCGACGAUCCGUAACUGGUCUGAGAGGAUGAUCAGUCACACUGGAACUGAGACACGGUCCAGACUCCUACGGGAGGCAGCGGUGGGGAAUAUUGGACAAUGGGCGAAAGCCUGAUCCAGCCAUGCCGCGUGUGUGAAGAAGGUCUUCGGAUUGUAAAGCACUUUAAGUUGGGAGGAAGGGCAGUAAGUUAAUACCUUGCUGUUUUGACGUUACCAACAGAAUAAGCACCGGCUAACUUCGUG